GGCCUUGGGACCUCUUGCCCUAGCUGUUGCGUACAUUCCUCUUACAGUUCUGGCUGUUCCUGCCUCUGUUCUUACGGCUGUGAUAUUCAGAUCGGUGGCGGAUACCUCUUUGGACUACCAAUUGGUUUUGUGGCGGACUCGGUCGGGGCCACGCUUGGCUCUGGAGCAGCAUUUCUUCUAGGCCGUACGAUUGGAAAACCUUUUGUAGUUGCAAAGUUGAAGGACUAUCCUCAGUUUCAAUCGGUGGCUCUCGCUAUUGAAAAAUCCGGUUUCAAGGUGAGAACAACCGAUACAAGUUUUUAUCAUUUUUUACUGCUGACAUUCUGUUUUUGAAGCUUAUGAAUAAUGCAAAAACUGAAUAUAGAUAUGCUUGUUGCUCCGGCUUGCUCCACUUCUCCCAUUCAGAAUGUUGAACUACCGCUUAUCUGUAACACCAAUCACGCUGGGACCAUACUUGCUUUCUUCUUGGUUAGGGAUGAUGCCAAUAACGUUUGCCUUAGUGUAUGUUGGAACAACUCUAAAAGACCUUUCUGAUGUGACUCACAAGUGGAGUGAACUAUCUUUCGGCCACUGG